GACGAACGCUGGCGGCGUGCUUAACACACGCAAGUCGAACGGUGAACCUUGGAGCUUGCUUCGAGGGGAUCAGUGGCGAACGGGUGAGUAACACGUGAGUAACCUGCCCUGGACUCUGGAAUAAGCGCUGGAAACGGCGUCUAAUACCGGAUACGAGACGCAACCGCAUGGUUAGUGUCUGGAAAGUUUUUCGGUCUGGGAUGGACUCGCGGCCUAUCAGCUUGUUGGUGAGGUAAUGGCUCACCAAGGCGACGACGGGUAGCCGGCCUGAGAGGGCGACCGGCCACACUGGGACUGAGACACGGCCCAGACUCCUACGGGAGGCAGCAGUGGGGAAUAUUGCACAAUGGGCGAAAGCCUGAUGCAGCGACGCCGCGUGAGGGAUGACGGCCUUCGGGUUGUAAACCUCUUUCAGCAGGGAAGAAGCGAAAGUGACGGUACCUGCAGAAGAAGCACCGGCUAACUACGUGCCAGCAGCCGCCGUAAUAC
rnacentral:rRNA from 1 species